CAUGUCCAUGUCCGGCCUUUUUAGCAGCUCUAGGUAAAUAUCGAUUUGCCCCAAUUUACCACCUCCUUAACUGACCAUUUGCAGACUAAGAAACCGACCUCUGUAGGGACCAGAUUUUUAUUUGACUUUCCACUCCCCAGCCCCGCCAGUCUCCCUUCCUCCCUCCAAGUGGCAUUGUAAAACUCAGUGACAAAGAGACCAAGUAAGGUGCGAGGCCCCAGUUCCUGGGGCCUUGAGGGCUAUUUUACAUAUGGGUCAGACAGGGCUGGAGGCCAAGGUCAAGUUGAAAGUUGCAAUCUAGCCUUUCUGAGAACUGCCCUGCAAACGCAGAGACCAAGGCCAGCCGGCCGCUGGAAAAGACCUUCUGGCCACCUCCCCUCG
rfam:Echinops telfairi cont1.389016, whole genome shotgun sequence.